AUUGAACGCUGGCGGCAGGCCUAACACAUGCAAGUCGAACGGUAACAGGAAGAAGCUUGCUUCUUUGCUGACGAGUGGCGGACGGGUGAGUAAUGUCUGGGAAACUGCCUGAUGGAGGGGGAUAACUACUGGAAACGGUAGCUAAUACCGCAUAACGUCGCAAGACCAAAGAGGGGGACCUUCGGGCCUCUUGCCAUCGGAUGUGCCCAGAUGGGAUUAGCUAGUAGGUGGGGUAACGGCUCACCUAGGCGACGAUCCCUAGCUGGUCUGAGAGGAUGACCAGCCACACUGGAACUGGGACAUGGUCCCGACUCCUACGGGAGGCAGCAGUGGGGAAUAUUGCACAAUGGGCGCAAGCCUGAUGCAGCCAUGCCGCGUGUAUGAAGAAGGCCUUCGGGUUGUAAAAUACUUUCAGCGGGGAGGAAGGGAGUAAAGUUAAUACCUUUGCUCAUUGACGUUACCCGCAGAAGAAGCACCGGCUAACUCCGUG
rnacentral:rRNA from 1 species